AGAGUUUGAUCAUGGCUCAGGACGAACACUGGCGGCGUGCCUAACACAUGCAAGUGGAGCGACGAACCAGGGCUUGCCCUGGGGCGAAGCCGCGAACGGGUGAGUAACACGUGGGUAACCUGCCCCGAUGACCGGGACAACCCGAGGAAACUCGGGCUAAUACCGGAUAUGCUCGCCGCGCUCAAGCGCGGUGAGUAAAGGAAGCUUCGGCCUCCGCUUCGGGAGGGGCCCGUGGCCCAUUAGCUUGUUGGUGAGGUAACGGCUCACCAAGGCAACGAUGGGUAGCUGGUCUGAGAGGGCGAUCAGCCACACUGGGACUGAGACACGGCCCAGACUCCUACGGGAGGCAGCAGUGGGGAAUCUUGCGCAAUGCGCGAAAGCGUGACGCAGCAACGCCGCGUGGGGGAAGAAGGCCUUCGGGUUGUAAACCCCUUUCAGGAGGGACGAAGGUGCGGCGGCGAACAGUCGACCGUACUGACGGUACCUCCAGAAGAAGCCCCGGCUAACUACGUGCCAGCAGCCGCGGUA
rnacentral:rRNA from 1 species